rnacentral:pre_miRNA from 1 species
UCCGUCCGGAAUUACUUGUCAUCAAAAUGGAUGUGUCUAGAACUAAAAUACAUCUAGAUACAUCCAUUUCAAUGACAAGUAUUUUUGGACGGAGGGAGUAGUAG